UUGAGCAACCGUUACGUGGUGAACAUCUAGAACUUGGACGUAGAAAACUGCGGUGCCGUCUGGUGGAUAGAAAAUAAUUUUCCGUAGCCGCAAGAGAUAUUCACAAUGUUCUGCUACUGCACCGUAGCCAUAGUUGCAAUUCUGUAUAUGCUUUUUGACGUCAAUUACUUUCUGAGAAUAGCGUUCACUCUCAGUUGGGGAAGGCUUUUUCAAAAAAAGAAGAAAUUGUUCGAAGAGACGACUAUUCACGGCAUAUGCACGACCCAGGAUGUAGACCUCUUCUUCAGAAACAUGAAUAUCGCAAGGUACGUCAGAGAACUGGACUUCGCCCGGUUCCACUACUACGACAGGUCUGGAGUAUACGGUGCGAUCCAUGCCAAAGGCGGAAGCGCGGUUCAAAGUGCCGCAUCUGUACGUUACAGAAGAGCACUUCCAAUAUUUACUCCGUACAAGGUCACCACAAAGUUAAUUUACUGGGACGAUAAGAAUUUCUACCUAGAGCAGCAGUUGAUCAGUUUGCCCGACAAUUUCAUCCGCACGAUCGUUUUAAGCAAGCAAAGUGUAACCGGUCUUAAAAUCCCAGUAUCGGAAAUCAUCGCCAAAGUCGAAGAGGGAGCAAAGAGGCCGGAACUAUCGAAAGAUUUAAGACUGUGGCUGGAAUCGAUGGAGGAAUCCUCGCAAAAAUUGAAGAAACAGAAUUAACGGAUGUAAGAACAUCGUUGAUAAGUAUUUAUUCGGAAGGUGCGUCGAUCGUCGCAGUUUGAUCGUCAGAUGAGUCUACCGAUCUACGUACGCUACUUAUCGUGUGAAAAAUAACAUAUGGACCAAUUUAUUCGUCGCGUGGUAAUGCUGUUCAAUGUCAAGGGUAUACUUUACUUCUACUCGUUAAAGUUUUAUUAUUGCAUUUGUUAGAUAUAUAUAUUCGGUUGUUGGAUUUGUACGUUUUUGUUACAUUUGUAUUUCUGUUUUAAAAAAAACUUUGAAUGACUUAAAAACGGAUUGUUA
rnacentral:misc_RNA from 1 species